rnacentral:lncRNA from 1 species
AAACGACCAAUCGUAGUAUGAAAAAUUAUUAUUUAAGUUUAUUAUUUUUAAAAAUGUUAAUAUUACCAAAAAAAUAUUUAUUUCAAACUAAAAUAUAAAUCAAUAUCGAAUAAGGUAAAUUAACAAAAAUAUAAAUACUAUAUUAAGUUAACAUAAUGUUUGAAAAUUAAAAAAUAAAUAACGAAAAGAAUAAUUAAUUUAAAAAUACAAGACUUUCAGACAAGUAUAACUAUAUAAAUCAUUGAGAAUGUUCACAUAUUAUUUU